CUCUUAUGAUAUACUUAGUUUAUGCUAUUUAAUAAAAUGAGUUGUACUUGGAAUUAAGAUGAUUUAUGAUGUAGUCAAAUGGUUCAUAUUUUUCUCUCCGCCUUUAGGAAAGCUCAAAAAGAUCAUUCCACCUAUUAAGCUUUUGUAAGCUGCUCUAAUUGAAUAUGUUGUUAUAUAUAUAUAUAUAUAUUAUUUUUCUAUAUUUUUCUUUCAUUAUUUGUUUCUUUUACCUAUUUCAUUCAAUAUUUGAAGCUCAAACCAUAUAUGUUUUUCAUGAUUCUUGAAGCUGCAUUUUACUUUUUAUGUGAUAGUAGAGUAUUGUUCUUGUGUAUGCUUAAUGCCUAUAUGACAAAAUUAUAUUUUAUUAUAUACUAUGAUAUAGACAUAAACUUAUCAUUAUUUUCUUUACUUUAUGCGUUGUCUACUAAAUUGAUGUGUAGUUAUUUGGUUGUAUUAUAUUUAUUGCCUAAAAUAAUCACAAAUAAUUGUCUGAAGGAAAAGUACAUAGGAAUUUACUUUAAAAUUGCAUUAAGUUGUCUUCUGUUGUCUUCUCUUGACAAUCUAUUUUUAAAAUUUUAGAGUGUCAAGAAUCACACAUUUGACUCUGAAUGAAAAAUAUUAGAUUGGAUUGGAUCUUGUAAAAUUAUUGCAAAAGGCUCUUUUGUUUCAAGUGACCCAAAGGAUGACAUUCACCAUGUUCCUCUUGGGCCUAGUGCUAUGAAAGUGGGGUUAGAUCUUGUGAGAAAGAAUUAUGCAUUUUUGUGGAGACCUUCAGGAGCUAUGUCUACUAUAGAAGAUGCUAUAGGUAGUAUAAUUUCAUGACCAGCUGAUAAAGGCAUAAUUAGUUAAGCAAAUCGACCCACAACAAAGACAAGUGCACAAUGGAUGAUGAAUUGAAGGAUGGAGCAAGUUUCAUGGUUUACUUUUUGUGUAUCUUGCUAUGGCUUUGUUUUUCAUUUUUGAAGUAAAAGAUGUCCAAGAUUAUAUAACUUUAUUAUGUAUGCUUUCAAACUUAAGUUAGAACUAAGAUCUCAUGAA